GACAAGUGAAGCAGAGAUAACAUCCUCGAGCCAACAAAGAAGGAUUGAUGAGCUUGAAGCACAGCUCCAAGAGGCAGAGGAUAUCAUAACUGAUUUGAGAUCUGUUAAGGAAGAUACCUCCAUUAAUUAGGCAAUAUUGUAAAUUGAUACUGUAGUUAUUUGCUUCCUUAUUUAGUCUCUGAUCAAGCCUUGGUUAUAGGUGAUAGUUUAGGAUACUAUUGACUGAAUCAUUGUAUAAAGCUGUAAACCUAGUUGUGGAAUAAUAUAUCGAACAUUAUAAUCCCAUUCUAUGCUUCUCAUCAUGGUAUCAGAGCAAUAGAUAUCUGGGAAAAUAAAAGCAAACACACAAACACCCAAAACAACCUAGCAAACAUAGCCAUGGUUGAUAGCGCAGACAUGAAGUCAACCUCCUCAGGCAUGACUUCGCGUUCAAGGUGGGAGAGUCCUAAUCAUCCACUCUAUCUCCACUAUUCGGACCAGCCUGGUGCAGUACUUGUGCCACAGUCAUUGGUGGAAGACAAUUAUAGUACAUGGGUUCAAUCCAUGACCAUGGCCUUAACGGUCAAAAACAAAUUAGGGCUUGUUGAUGGGACGGUCAAGAAGCCAAAUGAAGAUGAACAUGAAGAAUUGCAGCAAUGGAAUCGAUGCAAUAACUUGGUUAAGACGUGGCUCUUAGGAUCCAUGUCAAAAGAAAUUUCAGGUAGCGUUAUCAACUGCAAGGAUGCACGGCAAAUGUGGCUCGAUUUGCAAGAAAGGUUUUCUCAUGUGAAUAUCGUUCAAUUGUUUCACAUAGAAAACGAGAUUCAUGACUGUGUGCAAGGUAACAUGACGGUGAGUUCAUAUUUCACCAAAUUAAAAGGCCUAUGGGACGAACGUGACGUGCUGUGCUCCAUCCCUGCAUGUAGUUGUGAUACAAAGAAGGAAAUCACUUCUUAUGUUGAAACCCAGAAAACAAUGAAAUUUCUCAUGGGUUUAAAUGAUUCCUAUUCCACUGUUCGUAGUAAUACCCUUCUUCUUGAGCCUUUACCCACAGUGAACAAGGCCUACUCUCUUGUUCUUCGCCAUGAGAGACAAGCAGAAAUCUCAAGUGGAAAGCAUACUCCCUCUUCUGAAGCGGCAGCUUUUGCUGUGAAGAAUAGUGGCCGAGAAACUGCACCAGAGGAUGGUGGUCUUCGCUGUGGAAAAUGUAACAAGACAAAUCACAGCACCCAAAACUGCCGUGCUCAUCUCAAGUGCACCUUCUGUGGGUGGAAAGGUCAUUCCUUCGAAUAUUGCCGCAAACGCAAAGCGGCUGCUGAAGCUGAACAAAGUCGCUCAUCCACUUCCAAGGGUAACCAAGUUGCCGUGCACGAAAAAAAGGACGGGAUGCCAAACUUUCCUAUGCCAAACUUUCCUUUUUCUCAAGAAGAUUGCAAGCAGAUGCUCGCAAUGUUGAGCAAAAACAGAUCCUCCUUUGCAAAUCAAGUUGGUAAUUCUUCGAAUAAUGAAGAACUUUCAGGUAAAGCUUUUUCCUUCAUGUAUAAUGGCAUAACAAAUGUUUGGAUCUUGGAUAGUGGUGCAACGGACCAUAUUGUUUGCAGUCCUCAUUGUCUCACGUCGUCGAGGUCUGUUGCAAACCAUACCGUAGAACUACCCACUGGUUCCCUUGCCACAGUUACCCACAUUGGACAAGUUGUCUUCUCUCCCAACCUUGUGCUCAAUAAUGUUUUGUGUGUACCAUUUUUCAAAUUAAAUUUGAUAUCCAUUAGCAAGCUUGCACAUGAUUCCCUUUAUAUUACCAUCUUCCUAAAACAAGUUUGUGUCACACAGGACCUACGCUCGGGGAAGAUGAUUGGGACGGGAAUUGAACGGGAGGGACUAUACUAUCUCGAUCCACCAAAGAAAGGAACAUGCAAUGCCAUUCAAACAUCCAACCAUCACCUUUGGCAUCAACGUCUAGGACAUCCAUCACAAACUGUUUCCAAGUUAUUUCCUUGUUUUCAACAUAAAUCUUGUGAUUCUAUUAAGUGUGUCAUCUGCCCAUUAGCCAAACAAACAAGAGCACCAUUUUCAUUGAGUUCUAUAUCCACUAAAUCAUGUUUUGAAUUGAUACAUGUUGAUAUCUGGGGGGGGUAUCAUGUCCCUUCUAUUUCUGGUGCAAAAUAUUUUCUUACUAUCGUUGAUGAUUACAGUAGGAGCACAUGGAUUUAUUUGAUGAAACACAAAUCUGACACACAACAGCUCCUUGUACAAUUCAUCCAUUUGGUCGAAACUCAAUUCGACACCAAAGUCAAAAUGAUUCGAAGCGAUAAUGGUCCCGAAUUUAACCUUGCCAGUUUUUAUGCCACACAAGGUAUCAUCCAUCAAACUAGCUGCGUUCACACACCACAACAAAAUGGUGUUGCUGAACGUAAGCAUCGCCAUUUACUCAAUGUUGCCCGAGCUCUACUCUUUCAAGCCAACAUGCCAAAAUGUUUUUGGGGGGACGCCAUCCUUGCUUCAGCCUAUCUUAUUAAUCGCACACCCACACCCCUUCUUCACGGGAAAACACCUUAUGAACAAUUGUUCCACAAAGCACCCAAUUACUCACAUUUACGAGUCUUUGGCUGUUUGUGUUUUGCUUCCACUCACGCACACAAACCUUCAAAAUUUGAUCCCCGUGCCCGUCGUUGUGUCUUCCUUGGCUACCCAUAUGGUACAAAGGGCUAUCGGUUAUUUGAUCUCCAACUCCACAAAGUGUUUGUCUCACGGGACGUGAUUUUUUUUGAAGACCAAUUCCCUUAUCACUCCGAUGUUUCCGCUGCUCAUAACCAAUCCCCCAAUCCACCCGCCUCCCUGUCGUACUUUGAUCUGGACUCUUUUCCUGCCCCAUCUCCUAUGUCACACGAUCCCCCUGCACCUUCCUCUCCAAUUUCCCCUAUCGCUUCCCUACCUUCACCUUCCCCCUCUUCGGCACUUACAUCCAUCCCUGUGCCUCCUUCGUCUCCGGACCCUACACCCCUCAGCCUACCACCCGUUUCGCCAACCGUCCUGCCAACCCCACCCCGACGUGGAACACGACCUACCAAACCCUCUUCUUUUUUGCAGGACUUUCAUAUCGAGGUCUCUCUCCCGUCCCGGUCUGCUCCCACAUCUUCUACGAACGUGGUUCAGUCUUCGUCAGGUACUUCCCAUCCUCUCUCCACUUAUUUAUCUUAUGAUCGUCUCUCACCCCACCAUAAAGCCUAUACCGCUAAUCUCACCCUCCUUAAGGAACCCACUAGUUUCUCGCAGGCUGUCCGAGAUCCAAACUGGUGUGCUGCCAUGCAGCAUGAAAUUGCUGCCCUUCAGGCCAAUCAUACAUGGACCCUCGUGCCUUUGCCGUUGCAUAAACGUCCCAUUGGCUGUAAAUGGGUUUACAAAAUUAAGCUCAAACCUGAUGGCACUCUUGAACGGUACAAAGCACGCCUCGUUGCAAAAGGUUACAGUCAAAUUGAAGGUGUUGAUUACCGUGAAACUUUUGCUCCGGUGGCUAAGUUAACCACAGUUCGCGUGCUCCUUAGCGUGGCUGCUGUGCAAGGUUGGCACCUCCAUCAACUGGAUGUGAACAAUGCUUUUUUAAAUGGUGAUCUCGAAGAGGAUGUAUACAUGACCUUGCCCCCUGGUUUCGGACGAAAGGGGGAGACUCGAGUAUGCAAAUUAAAUAAAUCCCUCUACGGUUUAAAGCAAGCUUCGAGACAAUGGUUCAUCAAGUUGUCCAAUGCUCUCAAGGCUGCUGGAUUUCAUCAAUCAUGGUCCGACUAUUCAUUAUUCGUCCGAAGUCGUCAUGGUAACUUCAUUGCUUUACUAGUCUAUGUUGAUGAUGUGAUACUAGCAGGGAAUAAUCUGCAUGAAAUUGAAGAAACCAAGCAAUUUCUAUCUCACCAUUUCAAAUUGAAAGACUUGGGGCAACUCAAAUAUUUCUUGGGCAUAGAAGUUGCACGAUCAAAGCGUGGAAUUACCCUAUGUCAACGAAAAUAUGCACUAGAAAUAUUGGAUGAUGCUGGGUUUCUAGGAGUUAAGCCUUCACGGUUUCCUGUGGAUCAAAAUUUGUCUCUCACACAAAUGGAAGGAAAGGUGUUGAAUGAUCCUUCAUCAUAUAGAAGGCUUGUGGGCAGGUUAAUAUACUUGACAAUAACAAGGCCUGACUUGGCUUAUGCUGUCCACAUGCUAAGUCAAUUCAUGGAGAAACCUCGGCAACCACAUCUUGAGGCUGCACACAAGGUCCUCAAGUACAUUAAACAAGCACCUGGACAAGGAAUUUUUCUCCCUUCCACGGGUUCAUUACAAUUACAAGCAUUUUGUGAUGCCGAUUGGGCUAGAUGUAGAGAUACUAGAAGGUCGAUAACGGGGUACUGUGUUUUGCUUGGUCAAGCACCUAUUUCCUGGAAAACUAAGAAACAAACAACUAUAUCUCGUUCUAGUGCAGAGGCUGAAUACCGUUCUAUGGCCACCACAUGUUGUGAAAUCAUAUGGCUGAAGAAUAUUCUGAAAGAUCUAGGAGUGAAACACCCACAACCAGCCAACCUGUUUUGUGACAAUCAAGCGGCAUUACACAUCGCUUCAAAUCCUGUUUUCCAUGAACGAACGAAGCACAUAGAGAUCGAUUGUCAUCUAGUACGAGAGAAGAUUCAAGAAGGAAUGAUACGCACGGCUUACAUAAGGACAAGUGAUCAACCAGCUGAUAUAUUCACCAAGCCGUUGAGUUCAACGCAGUUUGAAGUCUUACUUAGCAAGUUGGGUGUCAUUAACAUACACUCCAACUUGAGGGGGAGUGUUAAGGAAGAUACCUCCAUUAAUUAGGCAAUAUUGUAAAUUGAUACUGUAGUUAUUUGCUUCCUUAUUUAGUCUCUGAUCAAGCCUUGGUUAUAGGUGAUAGUUUAGGAUACUAUUGACUGAAUCAUUGUAUAAAGCUGUAAACCUAGUUGUGGAAUAAUAUAUCGAACAUUAUAAUCCC
rnacentral:lncRNA from 1 species